UCUAAUAUGGCAGAAGUUUAUGCAAUGAACUUAAAAUUCAUUUAUAAAGAUUAAUCUUUUUUUAGAA
rnacentral:tRNA from 1 species